CAGCAGCCGCGGUAAUACCAGCCCCUCGAGUGGUAGGGAUGAUUAUUUGGCCUAAAGCGUCCGUAGCCGGCCGGGUAAGUUUUCCGUUAAAUCCAGCGUCUCAAGCGUUGGACUGCGGGAAAUACUGCUUGGCUAGAGAGUGGGAGAGGUAAGCGGUAUUCUGGGGGUAGGGGCGAAAUCCUUUGAUCCCCGGAGGACCACCAGUGGCGAAGGCUGCUCACUAGAACACGUCUGACGGUCAGGGACGAAAGCUGGGGUAGCGAACCGGAUUAGAUACCCGGGUAGUCCCAGCCGUAAACGAUGCAUGCUAGGUGUUGGGUUGGCCACGAGCCACCCCGGUGCCGCAGGGAAGCCGUUAAGCAUGCCGCCUGGGAAGUACGAUCGCAAGGUUGAAACUUAAAGGAAUUGGCGGGGGAGCACCACCAGGCGUGAAGCCUGCGGUUUAAUUAGAGUCAACGCCGGGAACCUUACCGGAAGCGACAGCAGAAUGAAGGCCAAGUUGAAGACUUUGCUAGACGAGCUGAGAGGAGGUGCAUGGCCGUCGCCAGUUCGUGCCGUGAGGUGUUCUCUUAAGUGAGAUAACGAACGAGACCCGCGCCACAUGUUGCCAUCAGAAUCUAAAGGAUUGCUGGGCACUCUUGUGGGACCGCAGCCGAUAAGGCUGAGGAAGGGGCGGGCAACGGCAGGUCAGUAUGCCCCGAAUCUUCCGGGCCACACGCGGGCUGCAAUGGUAUGGACAGAGGGCUGCAACCCCGAGAGGGAAAGCCAAUCCCUAAACCGUACCUCAGUUGGGAUUGAGGGCUGCAACCCGCCCUCAUGAACAUGGAAUGCCUAGUAACUGCACGUCAUCAUCGUGCGGUGAAUACGUCCCUGCCCCUUGCACAC
rnacentral:rRNA from 1 species